CGAGCGAACCCUUCGGGGUUAGCGGCGGACGGGUGAGUAACGCGUGGGAAUAUGCCCUUUGGUACGGAACAACAGCUGGAAACGGCUGCUAAUACCGUAUGAGCCCUACGGGGGAAAGAUUUAUCGCCAAAGGAUUAGCCCGCGUCGGAUUAGGUAGUUGGUGAGGUAAUGGCUCACCAAGCCUACGAUCCGUACCUGGUUUGAGAGGAUGAUCAGGCACACUGGGACUGAGACACGGCCCAG
rnacentral:rRNA from 1 species